CCUACGGGCGGCAGCAGUGAGGAAUAUUGGUCAAUGGACGAGAGUCUGAACCAGCCAAGUAGCGUGAAGGAUGACUGCCCUAUGGGUUGUAAACUUCUUUUAUCUGGGAAUAAAAUGUUCCACGUGUGGGAUUUUGUAUGUACCAUAUGAAUAAGGAUCGGCUAACUCCGUGCCAGCAGCCGCGGUAAUACGGAGGAUUCGAGCGUUAUCCGGAUUUAUUGGGUUUAAAGGGAGCGUAGGUGGAUUGUUAAGUCAGUUGUGAAAGUUUGCGGCUCAACCGUAAAAUUGCAGUUGAAACUGGCAGUCUUGAGUACAGUAGAGGUGGGCGGAAUUCGUGGUGUAGCGGUGAAAUGCUUAGAUAUCACGAAGAACUCCGAUUGCGAAGGCAGUUCACUGGACUGCAACUGACACUGAGGCUCGAAAGUGUGGGUAUCAAACAGGAUUAGAUACCCGAGUAGUC
rnacentral:rRNA from 1 species